GCCUGGGUGGCUCAGUUGGUUAAGCGUCUGACUUUGGCUCAGGUCAUGAACUCACAGUUUGUGGGUUUGAGCCCUGCAUCGGGCU
rfam:Felis catus isolate Cinnamon breed Abyssinian chromosome A3, whole genome shotgun sequence.